GGCCAAGCCCCAGCACCCCUGAUCUGGGAUGAGGGGACAAGGUAAGUCUUGGGUGGUCCAGAGCUCUGCUGAGGUCUAGUUGCAGGCAUCAGGAGACCCCAUUCCAGUUUUGAUUCUGUAGUAAAUCACUGUGUGGCCUUGGGCAAGUCAUUUGACCUCUCUGAGCCUCAGUUUCCUCUCUUAUCAAACGGCCUCUGACACUCUUGCCCUUACAGGGUUCCCCUGAUUGUCAGCUGGACUUGUAGCUGUGAAAGUCCUUUGAAAUAAUUAAGCGUAAUGAAGAAUUUAUCAUGGUUGUGUUGUCAAGUGCAGGGUGCCCAUAAUGUCAGGGGAGCCAGUUUUAUAUAACAUGGUAUUAGUCUCAAAGGGGACCCAUGUGAAUGCCAUUCCAGAAAGCCUCGAGCCUGGAUAUUGUGUGGUGCUGGGCUUUCAUUUCUGUAUCAGGUUGUGAUAUGGUUCUUUUUUUGAGGGGGAGGGUAGAUAAGUUGUGUAAUUCAGUUUUUAUAAAAUAAACAACUAAUAAAAAAAGAAUGAAAGAAACUGAACAGUUAAAUGUAUCAAUCUGGAUGAAUCUCAAAAACAGUAUUAAGUCCCCCAAAACAAGUCAUCGAAAUCACUGUGAGCUUGGGGAUGAAUUGAGGGGUGGUGUUGCUUUUCAGGCAGUAUAGGGAAGCCCAUUCCGGAUGUGUGGUGUGCUUAACUGUGUGGAUACAUGGAUUCAUUGAGGAGCUGUGUGUACUGUAAAGGAUGCAUUCUGGAGCACGCUAGCAGGGGCCCAAAAUCGUGCCCUUAUAUUGCUUACUUAAUUAGCCUGUGCCUCAGGUUUCUCAUUUGUAAAAUGGGGGUAACAAUCCCUACUUUGUGGGGUUGAUGUGAGGGUUAGAUAAGCUAAAAUGCAUGAAGUGUUUAGAACAGGUAUUUGCUGCGCACCAGGGAGUAGAUGUGAGGGUAAGGGGAGGUAGCUGUCUAUGUAUCUGGGGGCAGAGGCCCUGCUAGGAGUGGGUUACUAUGGGAUCAGUUGAAAAUUCUGAAUUUUGUGUUUUAUCUAUGGACUGCCUUGGAGUCCUCCUUAUAUUUUUUGGUGAUGAAUCAGAAGGGCAUGAGAAGUAAGACUGUGCCCACUUUCAGAGUUAGAUGCCCCUAGUCCGGGAGGGGUCAUUGGUCUCUCUUUUCUGUUGUUGUCAGACUGAC
ensembl:lncRNA